CAACCUCCUGGCUCAGCCCUGGCCAAACUCCACCACGACCUGAAUGAUCCCAGGGGGCUGGGAAUGUUUAAUAUCAGGGCUGAAGAGGAGAGAGAGAGGAGAGGGCAGCAGUCCUCUGGCAGCAGUGACCAGCAAUCAUUUUGGGGUCGAUUUUGCACUCAGGUAUUUAUUUUUAUAUUUAUUUAUAUUAGCUAAUUGCAACCUGACAGAUACAACUAUUUUGUACCACAAUUAUCAUAGGAUAAAAAGUUUUUUUUUUAACAAACUAGGUGAUGGAGCCAUAUCUGCUGCAACUUGUGGAGCAGUUGAACGGGCGUUUCCAGGAACUCCACAUCCUUGGGGCAUUUAGUGUGCUGAGCCCACAAGCAGCCAGGAAGCUGGAUCAGGAUGUGCCUGUGAGCCAAAUGAAGACUCUCGCAAAAAAGUUCCACCCAAUGGAUGAGCAGACACUGCUGGAAGAGUGGUCUUCAUUCAGAGAACAUCUCACUACUGGCAUUCUGAAGGUGAAAGAUUUUUUUAAGAGCUAGCUUUGUCCUUUAUCAAAUUUCAUCCUAUGUUAAUGUUCCUUGUCAACUGCUCUAUCAAACUAUAGGACAAGAACCAGAUGGAUGUAAUGAAGGAGCUGACCUCACAGUACGAUGAGCUCAGUCAGCUCUACCCCUGUCUGAGCAAGCUUGCUGCAAUUGGGCUCACUAUUCCGCUCAGCAGUGUUAACUGUGAGCGAGAUUUUUCCACUAUGAACAGGGUGAAAACUGACCUCAGGAACAGGCUGCAGGGAGAGCACUUGGGGGACUGCCUGAAAAUAUCCAUAAAUGGGCCGCCUGUUGGAAACUUCCCUUAUCAAGAGGCCAUGGAGCAAUUCUUCAAAAAGCCAAGAAAGAUCAAGUGUAGCAACCAGCCAUGCUCACUGUGUUCAUAAUAAAAUUAGUGUAUUGUAAAUAAAAUUAGUGUAUUGUAAAUAAAAUUAGUGUAUUGUAAAUAAAAUUUGUUUAUUGUUUAUAACGUGUUUAUUGAAUCAUUAUCAACUUGUGAUGGCGAAGCAAGUGUUUUAUAUGGAAAUAACCAACAAAUACUCUAGCAUCCCAUGAAAAAUGUAUAACAAAUCACACUAUCAGCUCUUA